UACGAAGGGGGCUAGCGUUGCUCGGAAUUAGCUGGGCGUAAAGGGCGCGUAGGCUGGCGCAUUUAGUCAGGCGUGAAAGCCCUGGCUCACCUGGGGACUGCGCUUGAGGGCGGGUGUGCUAGAGGACGGAAGAGGGUCGCGGAAAUUCCCGAGUGUAGGAGGUGAAAUUCGUAGAGUAUUGGGAAGAACACCGGUGGCGAAGGCG
rnacentral:rRNA from 1 species